rnacentral:rRNA from 1 species
GAUCAUGGCUCAGGAUGAACGCUGGCGGCGUGCCUAACACAUGCAGGUCGAACGGACUUACAUUGAAGCCUAGCAAUAUGUAAGUUAGUGGCGGACGGGUGAGUAACGCGUGGGUAACCUGCCUUAUACAGGGGGAUAACAGUUAGAAAUGACUGCUAAUACCGCAUAAGCGCACAGGAUUGCAUGAUCUAGUGUGAAAAACUCCGGUGGUAUAAGAUGGACCCGCGUCUGAUUAGCUGGUUGGUGAGGUAACGGCCCACCAAGGCGACGAUCAGUAGCCGACCUGAGAGGGUGACCGGCCACAUUGGGACUGAGACACGGCCCAAACUCCUACGGGAGGCAGCAGUGGGGAAUAUUGCACAAUGGGGGAAACCCUGAUGCAGCGACGCCGCGUGAGCGAAGAAGUAUUUCGGUAUGUAAAGCUCUAUCAGCAGGGAAGAAAAAAUGACGGUACCUGACUAAGAAGCCCCGGCUAACUACGUG